rnacentral:rRNA from 1 species
CCUACGUGAGGCAGCAGUAGGGAAUCUUCCACCAUGGGCGAAAGCCUGAUGGAGCAACGCCGCGUGGGUGAAGAAGGUCUUCGGAUCGUAAAACCCUGUUGUUAGAGAAGAAAGUGCGUGAGAGUAACUGUUCACGUUUCGACGGUAUCUAACCAGAAAGCCCCGGCUAACUACGUGCCAGCAGCCGCGGUAAUACGUAGGUGGCAAGCGUUAUCCGGAUUUAUUGGGCGUAAAGGGAACGCAGGCGGUUCUUUAAGUCUGAUGUGAAAGCCUUCGGCUUAACCGGAGUAGUGCAUUGGAAACUGGGAGACUUGAGGGCAGAAGAGGAGAGUGGAACUCCAUGUGUAGCGGUGAAAUGCGUAGAUAUAUGGAAGAACAGCAGUGGCGAAAGCGGCUCUCUGGUCUGUAACUGACGCUGAGGUUCGAAAGCGUGGGUAGCAAACAGGAUUAGAUACCCCAGUAGUC